GGGGCUUUGUGGUCUUGAAUUGUGUUUGACAGAUGCACUGCCAAUGGAAGCGUAGAUGGAAGCCAUUUGGAAAAAUGCAUUAAUGAUGGUGAGAGUCCUGUGUGUCAUUUACAGUUUUCUGUGCACGGUGUGCGUUCUAAGAUUCACGUUCCUUGGGAUUGGAACGCAAAGUGGGUGGUAGAUUUCAUUCAAAGCUAAAUAGUGGAUUGAGACCGAUAGUAAACAAGUACCAUGAGGGAAAGGUUAAAAGGACUUUGAAAAGAAAGUUAAACAGUGUCUGAAAUUGCUGAAAAGGAAGCAGAUGUAACCAAUUCGUUCUUUUCAAGAUUGUCAUGUACAAGCGUGAGUGCUGGCUGCAUCAACGCAAGUGUGGCAGCUGAUUCAAAUCUGAUUGUGCAUGGUGAUUCUUGCUUUGCGUGUCAAACAUCAUUUUGCAAUCAAGGAACACAUGGAUCAUAUGGACGUUUGCUUGCGUGUGAACAAAUGUUUUUUGUAGACAUCAAUUGUGGAUUGUCAUUGUGCGUGGAUGGUUUGGUUUUUGAUUGCGUUCUCACCGUGUGUGUGCGUGUAUCAAUAAACUUAUGGUUUUGACUCAAAAACAUUGACAAACUNNNNNNNNUUGACCCGUCUUGAAACACGGACCAAGGAGUCUAACACAUGUGCAAAUUCUUGGGUGUGCAAGCCUGUUUGUGAAAUAAAAGUGAUUUGCUGUCACAUAUGCAACAGCAACUAACCGAUCAAUUGUGAGAGGUUUGAGUAUCAGCAUAUUUGUUAAGACCCGAAAGAUGGUGAACUAUGCCUGAGAAGGGUAAAUUCAGGGGAAACUCUGAUGGAAGCUCGUAGCGAUACUGACGUGCAAAUCGUUCGUCGUACUUGGGUAUAGGGGCGAAAGACUAAUCGAACCAUCUAGUAGCUGGUUCCCUCUGAAGUUUCCCUCAGGAUAGCUGGAAUUGCACAGUUUUAUCAUGUAAAGCGAAUGAUUAAAGGAAUCGGGGAUGUGUUGUCUUCGACCUAUUCUCAAACUUUAAAUGGGUACGAUCCAGUGGUUGCUUUUGUGAACUUCGGGGAUAAAUGACAAUUCUAAGUGGGCCAUUUUUGGUAAGCAGAACUGGCGAUGAGGGAUGAACCUGACAUUGUGUUGAAGUGCUCAAUUGCUCGCUCAUCAGGUACCAUAAAGGGUGUUGGUUCAUUUAAACAGCAGGACGGUGGUCAUGGAAGUCGAAACCCGCUAAGGAGUGUGUAACAACUCACCUGCCGAAUGGACUGGCCCCGAAAAUGGAUGGCACUCAAGCGAGUGACUGAUACACAAUCAUUGAUGUAAUUUUACACAUCUGUGAGUAGGAGGGCAUGGGGGUUCGUUGUGCA
rnacentral:rRNA from 1 species